CGUACGAACCAAACCAACAAGCGGAUUUUCUGCCUCGUAUAUUUGCAGAGAAAUGCCACGAUAUCAAAGAGGUUGAUCAAAGAACAGAGCUGAUUGGUUCAACUAGACCAAAACUUUCCAAUUUCGACCGAACAAAGUUCGAACAAACUUACCGGAAGUUCUUCUUGGACAUCGCUGGUGAAG